GAUGAACGCUGGCGGCGUGCCUAAUACAUGCAAGUCGAGCGAACGGACGAUAAGCUUGCUUCUCUGAUGUUAGCGGCGGACGGGUGAGUAACACGUGGAUAUCCUACCUAUAAGACUGGGAUAACUUUGGGAAACCGGACCUAAUACCUGAUAAUAUUUUGAACCGCAUGGUUCAAAAGUGAAAGACGGUCUUGCUGUCACUUAUAGAUGGAUCCGCGCUGCAUUAGCUAGUUGGGAAGGUAACGGCUUACCAAGGCAACGAUGCAUAGCCGACCUGAGAGGGUGAUCGGCCACACUAGAAUGGAAACACGGUCCAGACUACUAGGGGAGGCAGCAGUAGGGAAUCUUACGCAAGGGGAGGAAGGCUGAAGGAGCAACGCCGCGUGAGUGAUGAAGGGAUUGGGAUCUGAAAACUCAGUUAUUAGGGAAGAACAUAUGUGUAAGUAACUGGGCACAUCUUGACGGUACCUAAUCAGAAAGCCACGGCUAACUACGUG
rnacentral:rRNA from 1 species